UACGUAGGGGGCUAGCGUUGUCCGGAUUUAUUGGGCGUAAAGGGCUCGUAGGCGGUUCGUCACGUCGGGAGUGAAAACCCGGGGCUCAACUCCGGGCCUGCAGCCGAUACGGGCAGACUAGAGUUCGGCAGGGGAGACUGGAAUUCCUGGUGUAGCGGUGAAAUGCGCAGAUAUCAGGAGGAACACCGGUGGCGAAGGCGGAUCUCUGGGCCUGUCCUGACGCUGAGGCGCGAAAGCUAGGGGGAGCGAACAGG
rnacentral:rRNA from 1 species